UUGGAGGGCAAGUCUGGUGCCAGCAGCCGCGGUAAUUCCAGCUCCAAUAGCGUAUAUUAAAGUUGUUGCAGUUAAAAAGCUCGUAGUUGAAUUUCGGGAUCAAUAUUUCGGUCAUGCCGUUGGUAUGCACUGUUAUAAUUGAUUUCUCACCUUCUAAAGAACCGUAAUGCCAUUAAUUUGGUGUUACGGGGAAUUAGGACUGUUACCUUGAAAAAAUUAGAGUGUUUAAAGCAGGCUCACGCUUGAAUACAUUAGCAUGGAAUAAUGAAAUAGGACAUCCGAUUCUAUUUUGUUGGUUUCUAGGAUCGAUGUAAUGAUUAAUAGGGAUAGUUGGGGGCAUUAGUAUUCAAUUGUCAGAGGUGAAAUUCUUGGAUUUAUUGAAGACUAACUACUGCGAAAGCAUUUGCCAAGGAUGUUUUCAUUAAUCAAGAACGAAAGUUAGGGGAUCGAAGACGAUCAGAUACCGUCGUAGUCUUAACCAUAAACUACGCCGACUAGGGAUCGGAUGAUGUUAAUUUUUUAAUGACUCAUUCGGCGCCUUACGGGAAAC
rnacentral:rRNA from 1 species